AGGAGAAUUGCUUGAACCCGGGGGGCAGGGGUUGCAGUGAUCCAAGAUCAUGCCACUGCAUUCCAGCCUGGGCAACAGAGUGAGUCUCUGUCUCAAAAAAAAAAAAAAAAAAGCUUCUUAUUUGAGUAAUAAUGACCACAUAGACUAUUUUUUUUUCCACCACCGCCACAGCUUUCCUGUUAAUCCAACUCAUUUAAGUUCAUGUGUGUUCCUUUUUUCUCUAGACUUUUUUUUAGCAAGCAUACCUUAGGAAACUGAACUUCGCUUGAAACUGAAACUACCCUCCCAAAAUCAUCUCCAAGGGUUAUUUACAGACUAAAUGAGACAGUGUAUAUCUAACAUUGCUUUGUGGAUGCUAUCAAGUGCUGGCAAAUGUGUGGGAGAAUGAAUGGAAAACUUCAUCAAUUUCUAGGAUAGUAAAUUGGUGCUGCUAUUUUGGAGAGCAAUUUGUCAGCCUUCAGGGGAAACUGAAUAUGCACAUCCUCUAAGACCCAGCAGUUUCACUUCAAAGAAAAUUUCUUAUAUGCACAGAGACUUGUACAAGGAUAUUUAUCACAGCACUGUUUGUAAUAACAAAGGGCUGGAAAUAAACCAAAUGGCCAAUGAUAAGAAUUGAUAAAUGUGGUAAAUGCCUAAAAUAGAAUGUCACACAGCAGUUAAAAAAUCAUUUAUUCACUAAUUAAGCAAAGGACAAAAAGCCUCAACAGAAAAAAAAAGACAAAAGCCUUGAAUAGUCACUUUGCCAAAUGUUCAAUACACGUACAAAAACAUGGGCAAGUUCAUUGGUUGUCAAGGAAGUUCGAAUUAAAGCCACAUUUUGCAGGUACAACACUGGCACAAGUUUAAGUCUGAUGAUACCAAGUCUUGGAGAAGGUUGAAGCUACUGGAAAACCUGCCCUCUGCUGGUGGGAGUGCAAAUUGCUCCAAGCUCUUUGGACAAUAAUUUGGCAUCCUCUAGUGAAGUUGAAGAUGUGUGUGCUUGAGACUCAGCAAUUCCCCUUUGUGACAUCAGGAUGCUCCCGCACAUAUGCUUAAGAACAUUCAUGCCAGCUUUGUUUAUAUAACAAAAACGUGGAAAUAACCCAAAUGUCUGAGGAUGGGGAAUGGACAAAUAAUGGUUCAUAGUUAUGAAAAUGAAUACACAACAGCUACAAGCAUCUACUGGAAUGAAUCUCACAUGCAUUGUGUUGUAGAAGAAUAUGUAUAAUUCCAUUUAUGUAAAGUUUAAAAGCAUGCACAACUAAAUGAUAUGUUAUUUAUGAGUAUAUGACAUAUAUGAUAAAGGCAAAGAAUAAAUAAAGUAAGGAAAGGUAAGACAAUAAGAGUUUGUGAUACUGGUUACCUAUUAUGGGGAAGGAUGUUGGGGACAGGUGGGACACCUUGGGGAUUAUCUGAUACUGGCAAUCUGACAGGUGGUAGGUCACCAGGUGUUCUUAUUAACUUCAAUACUCUAUAUAUCCUAACACUGGUAAAUCUCAAGUAUGUAAUACUGAAUGAAAAAAAAUCAAAAGUCAAAUAGUACAGUCCUAUUUGUGAAGAAAAACUAACCCACGUGAAUAAAGUAUUGUUAGGGAUGCCUCUCUAUGUAAAUAAAGCCGUACAGGGCAGCUACAUGUUAAAUUCGUUGGCGUGUGCACAUACAGUGGAAUGAUAAUGGGAUUAGGGACUGAGUGAAGGGGAGGGCAGUACAUAACAUUUCAAAAUGGUAAACAUGAAAAUGGGGCUGUUUGUGAACUCCUGAUGCUUGUGUGCCAUGAACUGACUUGAGGUGGUUAAAUUAAGCAAUUCGCUCUCUUUCCAUGCAUGUGAUAUCCCAAAGGGAAAGAAAGGUUGCUUUGCAAAUUAGAAUAAUCAAAAUCAAGUAUGAACCAUUAAACAUGUUUUGCUUGCUGGUAGAUUAAGGAUCACACUGGAUAUACAGUAGAAAAUA
rnacentral:lncRNA from 10 species